ACUCAGCCUUCAAGAGAGAUGCACCGUAGCUCUGCACUCACCAUGUCCUUUCUAGACAACCCCCACUCAAGGCCUCUCCUCCAGGCUAGCUCCAGGUAGAAUAGAGCCCAUUUUCCCAGGGCCGCUACUCUGCAAUCCCUUUCCUGUCAAGGAUGAAAAUCUUUCCUUAAUUUUUCACAGAAUGUCAGAAAAUGAACGAGACCUUAGAGACCAUCUACCUGUUUCUCUGAUGGGGAGACUGAGGCCAUGAACAGAUGAAGAAACAGACUUAAAGAAGGGAAGUGACUUGGCAAAGCCACAUGGAUUAAAAGGGUUGAAGCCAAGAACAAAAGCUUGGAAGUCAGAGGAGUCUGCUCCCUCCACUGUAUUGGGUUCUCUAUCUACAAGCAGAGGAGCCUGAAGAAGGAAUGAGUUGAUUGGAAAGUAAUAUGUUCCCUGUUAUUGAAGGUGACCACCUGUCAAUGAUUCCAUGGAAAAGACUCAAGAAAAACAAAUUGGUAGAUCUUUGGAGUUAGGAUCUUAGACUCUAAAAUCAUACGCCACUUCAGUAACUCAUUG
rnacentral:lncRNA from 10 species